rnacentral:rRNA from 1 species
GUCCACAGCCAUGCUACCCUGAACACGCCCGAUCCCAUCUGAUCUCGGAAGCUAAGCAGGGUUGGGCCUGGUUAGUAUAGCACCUAGGAAGACCAGGUGCUGUAGGCA